UCCAGAAUGAGAAGGAAGGGGUUCACCAGGCUUCACCUCCUGCAGAGGAGCUGGCACUUGGUGGGAGUUAAGAAAAUGACCUACCCUGGAUGACCUUUCCCGGAUAUCUGCUCCCUGGAUGUCAAUGUCGCUCCAGGGAUGACGCUUCCUGGAAGAUUCACCCUGGAUGUUGCCGCACGGAUGACCUUCCGGAUGACCUUCCCUGAAUGACCUUCCCCGAUGUAGCUCCCAGGGUGACGUUACCUGGAUGACCUUUCCCCGGAUGUCGAUGUUGCUCAGCGGAUGACUCUCCCUGGACGAUGCACCCUUUGUGUUGCUGCACGGAUUAGAUGACCUUUCCCCAGAUGUAGAUGCUCUGCGGAUGACACUCCCUGGACGACCUUUCCCCAGAUGUCGCUCUCUGGAUGACAUCCUGGAGCGUUCCCUCCUGGGUACUCUGCUGCACACGUGGAUGUCACUCCGCGGAUGAAGCUCCCUGGACCAUGCGCCCUUUGUGUUGCUGCACAGAUGACCUUUCCCCGGAUGUCGCUCCCUGGAUGACGUUCCCUCCUGGGUACUCUGCUGCACACGGCCUCGUUAGCACCGACUUUCUCUUGCGGUGACUGCUGGAGGUGUUCCCUCAGAACCUGCAUCCUGAACAGCUGCAGAGCAGUCACCCACGGGUGCUCCAGCCUAGCCUCACAUACUGCUUCAACUGGGCUGCUCGCUCCCACCCUCAGAUGGUCCCACAGCCUGGACAGCAGUGAAACCACAGCUCUUCCCACUGGGCCAACACGCCUGCUUUUCGCCCACACUCCAAAACCGCACCCUAAUGUCAGCAGGAAGUAGUCAUGGGUGAAAUCGCCCCUUAUUCAUCUAUUAUCAAGACAAGACUGGGAUACUUGGUUUCAGACCUGAGACAAGGGAUUGGGGUGCAUAAUUUACAUAUCAAAACAGACCCGGCCUCCAGGUUCUCCCCACGUCCCUUGGUCCCUACCCAGCAUAAAUCUACAGCUAUAUUACAGCUUCAUAACAUUAGCAAAAACAAGGCCAAACAUUUUCAUGGCAGUCAUCUUUAACGUUUUUAAUGUAGUAAUCCUCCAAAGCUUAAAGAGUUUAAAA